CACUGCCUGCCCGGUGACACACGUUUAACGGCCGCGGUACCCUGACCGUGCAAAGGUAGCAUAAUCACUUGUUCUUUAAAUAGGGACUUGCAUGAAUGGCAUCACGAGGGUUUAACUGUCUCUUACUUUUAACCAGUGAAAUUGACCCACCCGUGAAGAGACGGGUAUAAUACAAUAAGACGAGAAGACCCUAUGGAGCUUUAAUUUAUUAAUGCAACUAAAGACCACACAAACCUACAGGCUCCUAAACCACUACACCUGCAUUAAAAAUUUCGGUUGGGGUGACCUCGGAGCAUAGUUAAACCUCCGAAUAAUCCAUGCUAAGACUAUACAAGUCAAAGCGAACUAAUACUUACAACUGAUCCAAUAACUUGAUCAACGGAACAAGUUACCCUAGGGAUAACAGCGCAAUUCUAUUCUAGAGUCCAUAUCAACAAUAGAGUUUACGACCUCGAUGUUGGAUCAGGACAUCCUAAUGGUGCAGCAGCUAUUAAG
rnacentral:rRNA from 1 species